rnacentral:misc_RNA from 1 species
CUUUCCCCACUGACGGUUAGUUUUGCCGCUGACGUCCUACCGAGCGGAUCGGGCAUCUUUAAUUUUAUCCGCUUACGUAUUGGAUAUAUAUAAAUUUUAUCGCUAAACAACAAAAUAAAUAUAAAUCAAUCAAAAAAAUAUUGAACUUGAAUAGUCCUGUGGAGUAUAUAUAUUUUAAUUAAUACAAAGUGGCUUUGUUCUAAAAAUUAAUAGACUCAAAGGAAUUUAUAACAAUUUGGAGUAAAAAAAAAAAAAAAAAGUAAUUGAAAAAUAAUACAUAAUUAAGUUUUAUAUUUUCAAAAGUGGAUCAUUGUUGGGAUUUUGGAGCAACCUAGUGACAAGUGACGAAAAGUUUUUCAAAGUUUAUUAUCUUUUGUUAUUUAAUUCUUAUUUAUUUAUUAUCAUUAUUGCUUUUAUAUAAAUAUAUUUAUUAUUUUUUUUUUUUUGAAAUAUAAAUUAUAAUUUUUUUCUGGUUUUGUUGUGACGCUUGUGACUUGGAUAUUAAUUCCAUGUGUCGUGAGUGAGUAAAGUUGAUACUUGCCAACAGACGUGAAUUGGUGAAGAAGGCAUAUUACAUGUAUGAAGUUUUAUGUGAAAAAUAAAAGAGAGAUAGAGAGAAAAGCCUGCGGCAGACAUCAAGGGCCCCACAGAGAGAUAUAUAAUAAUAUAUAUGAAUUUAUAUAUAUAUUUUUUUUGUUAUAACCACUGGUGCACACAGUGAUCCCCGCUGCAGGAAGCCCCUGCAACAUUUCUCCCUUUAACCUUCCUAUAGUUUUUUUUGUUAUUAUUAUUUUUUUUAUCUCUCUCUCUCUCUCUCUCUGAUCAACAAUUCGCAGCACUUUAUAGACACCGGAGGUCUAAACUAAACUUCGUCAAUUGACGGAGCAUUAUUCCCAUUUUUUUUUUCCUCUCAUUGAGGCUUGUUAAUUAAUUAAUUUAUUUAUUUAUUAAUAUAUUGUGGGUGAUAUAUUUUUUAUGUUUAAAGUGUUAAACAGUGUGUUUAAAGUUUAUUUUGUUUUAAUACGAUAUGUGUGAAUUUUUUACCGCCGGAUUCAAUCAGCCUGCGUAGUCGAAGCUAGGUGCCUCACUAUGGAGUGCGGCAAGGGUCGGCGGAAAGGUCUUCUUCUCAGCAGGUUCAUCCUUGCUUGGUUCUUUCUCAGUGACUACAUUGUUGCCGCAAGAGACAGAGAACGUUACGACACGGCGUAUGAAUGUGAGGGUAAACAACUUAGGAUAGAGUGUGGUGAAGGCGAAGUGAUACAUCUGAUACGAGCAAACUACGGAAGGUUCUCGAUAACGAUAUGCAAUGAACAUGGGAACACAGAUUGGAGUGUUAACUGUAUGUCGCAAAAGUCAUUCAGAGUACUUUUCAACAAGUGUAACGAUCAAAGAAACUGCAGUAUCACAGCAUCAACAUCACAUUUUGGAGAUCCAUGUCCAAGUACACUUAAAUAUCUUGAGGCCCAUUAUCAAUGUGUAUCUGCUGCAACAACAGCGAUAACAACAAGACCAAGUCCAAGGUGGCUGAUAACGUCUCAACCAAGUGUCUGGGGCCCAUCAACUCCAACAGUAAGACCACCACCAAGACCAACGAUACCACCAUCUCAAAUGCCAGCGAUAACCACCCUCAGUACACCACUGAUAACCACAUCCCUCAGUUCAACAAGCACGACGAAGACAGUGCCAGUAAAUGAAAAUGAGGAACAAGUUGAAACGAAUCCCUCGAAGGGAAAUGAAAGUCCGGUUCAGCCAGUCGUGCCUAUGACUACUGAGACAACUACCGAGGCUGGUUAUGCUUCAUGGAAAACAAGCAAAAAACCCAUUGCAUCAACAAGUAUUCCAUAUGUUGAUCAAAAUAUAAAUAACAACAAAUGGUAUGAUUACAAUCGUCAAUAUUGUCCACCAAUAAUGGCAAGAAAUUUAUAUUGGAAUGCAACAAGAACUGGUGAUAUUGCUGUACAAAGUUGUCCAGGUGGUGCAAAUGGUUUAGCACGUUGGCGUUGUGCUGCAAUUGAUGAUACACCAGUAUGGUAUAGAGAAUCACCAGAUUUAAGUGAAUGUAGAUCAGUAUGGUUGACAUCACUUGAAACACGUGUUAUUGAAGGUGGUACAAUAUUAAGUAUUGCCAGUGAUUUAUCACUUGUUACAAACAACAGUAGAACAUUGUAUGGUGGUGAUAUGAUGAUAACAACAAAAAUUAUAAAAAAUAUGGCUGAAAAAAUGGGACAAGAUAUACGUACAUAUCAAGAUACACGACAAAAAGAAGUUAGUGUUACUGAGCUAUUACAGGGUGUUGUUAGAACUGGUAGUAAUUUAUUGGAUAAAGCACAAAUGGCAUCAUGGAAAGAUUUAAGUCAUCAAGAACAAAUGAGAGUUGCAACAUCAUUAUUAAUUGGUCUUGAAGAGAAUGCAUUUUUAUUGGCUGAUUCAUUAAAUCAUCAAAAAACAAUUAUACAAGAAGGAAAAAAUAUAUUAAUGGAAGUUAGAGUAUUGGAGGCUCGUAAUAUUGAUACAAAUUAUGAAGCAUUUCCAGCUGAAGAAAAUCGUGAAAGAUGGACAGCAUCAAAUGAUCAUGUUGAAUUAAGUCGUCGUUCAUUAUUAGAAAAUAGUGAUGGUGGUCUUGUACGUCUUGUAUUUAUGGCAUUUGAUAGACUUGAAGAAAUUCUACAACCACAAAUUGAAGAAGAAUCAUUUGUUUCAAUAAAUGAAGAUAUUAAAUCACGUAAUAUUAGUAAUAGAAUACUCAAUAGUAAAGUUAUAUCGGCAUCAUUAGGAAAAGGUAGACACAUACAAAUGUCGGAACCAGUUAGAAUUUAUUUUCAACAUUUAACAUCAGAAAAUGUUACAAAUCCAACUUGUGUUUUUUGGGAUUAUAUCAUGAGUGCCUGGUCUGAGGAAGGCUGUCAAACACGUAAAACAAAUAGCACACAUACUAUUUGUGAAUGUAAUCAUCUUACAAAUUUUGCUGUACUCAUGGAUGUUCACGCUGUGAAACUUGACAUGGCACAUCAGAUUGCACUACAAAUAAUAACAUAUAUCGGAUGUAUAAUCUCAAUUGUUUGUCUCGUUUUAGCAAUACUAACAUUUCAGUUAUUUCGUGGACUCAAGUCUGACCGUACAACAAUUCACAAGAAUCUUUGUAUUUGUCUUCUCAUUGCCGAGUUACUGUUUGUCUGUGGAAUUGGACAGACAGAUCAGAGAGUAGUUUGUGGUGUAGUUGCUGGACUUUUACACUUUUUCUUUUUAUGUGCAUUUGCAUGGAUGUUUCUUGAAGGCUUUCAACUUUAUGUCAUGCUCAUUGAAGUAUUUGAAGCUGAAAAAUCACGUUUACGAUGGUACUAUCUGGUGGCUUAUGGUGGACCAUUACUUGUCGUUGGAAUAUCCUGCAUCAUUGAUCCAUUUAGCUAUGGAACUGAUCGAUACUGUUGGCUCAGAGCUGACAAUUAUUUCAUAUUUAGUUUUGUAGGACCUGUUAUUGUUGUCAUACUGGCCAAUCUUGUUUUUCUUUCGAUGGCUAUUUAUAUGAUGUGUCGACAUGCAAACACAACUGUUACCAUGAAGAGCAAAGAACACUCACGACUCGCAAGUGCAAGUGGAAAAGAAGAAAAUGCUCUUCCCAACAAAUUACAAAUGCACUUAGCAUGGUUACGAGGUGCAAUUGUAUUGGUAUUCCUGUUGGGAUUGACCUGGACAUUUGGCCUUCUCUACCUGAAUCAGGAAUCAGUUAUAAUGGCAUAUAUAUUCUGUGUAUUGAACAGUCUACAAGGAUUAUUUAUAUUUGUUUUUCAUUGCGUACAAAAUGAAAAGGUUCGAAAAGAAUAUCGUAAAUUUAUAAGACGACAUUCAUGGUUACCAAAGUGUUUGAGAUGUUCAAAAACAGUUACUGGAAGUUCAAGUGGUUCAACUGGUACAAGUGGUGGACAACAAGGUGUUAAUGGUGGCAAAGAUUAUCCAUCACACAACACAUCAUCAAAUCCAUCAGCACCAACAACUGAUAGUUCUGGAUUAUCACCACAUGCUGCAUCCAAUGUGGGUACAUCACCGAAUAAUCACAACAACUUGACAGUGCCAACAAAUAAUACAAAUCUUUCGAUAAAUGUUAAUUUAAACAAUUUAUCAUUGAGAUCACCAAAUGGCACGCAUCAAAUGCACAUGAUGGCACCUAGCAACCACAAUAGGCAUCACGGCCAGCAAGUAUUUGAUGAGCGGAAGAGGUUGGACAAACAACAACAACAACAACAACAACGACAGACAACAAGUGAUGGCUACCGAGCCUCACGAAACAGCAUCAACAGAUGCACACGCAGUUGCAACACUGCCUCAUUCACGUCACGGCUUCUUUCCAACAACAACUAGUUUACCAAAAUCUGCAACCGCCACUUGGGGACCAAUUAACAAAAACCUCAUGUGGAAGAACAUUUCUUUUAAGUCAUACUCACGUGAUUCAGGACAUGGUGGUUCUGAGCAAGAGGAUUCACCACGUAUACAAAAUACCAUGACACUUGGUCAUUCAGUACGUGGACGUGAACG